UACGUAGGGUGCGAGCGUUGUCCGGAAUUAUUGGGCGUAAAGAGCUCGUAGGCGGUCUGUCGCGUCGGUCGUGAAAACUUGGGGCUUAACCCUGAGCUUGCGGUCGAUACGGGCAUGACUGGAGUUCGGCAGGGGAGACUGGAAUCCUGGUGUAGCGGUGAAAUGCGCAGAUAUCAGGAGGAACACCGGUGGCGAAGGCGGGGUCUCUGGGCCGAUACUGACGCUGAGGCGCGAAAGCGUGGGGAGCAAACAGG
rnacentral:rRNA from 1 species